AGAGUUUGAUCAUGGCUCAGGACGAACGCUGGCGGCGUGCUUAACACAUGCAAGUCGAACGGAAAGGCCCUUCGGGGUACUCGAGUGGCGAACGGGUGAGUAACACGUGGGUGAUCUGCCCUGCACUUUGGGAUAAGCCUGGGAAACUGGGUCUAAUACCGAAUAUGACCACGCUCUUCAUGGGGUGUGGUGGAAAGCUUUUGCGGUGUGGGAUGGGCCCGCGGCCUAUCAGCUUGUUGGUGGGGUAAUGGCCUACCAAGGCGACGACGGGUAGCCGGCCUGAGAGGGUGACCGGCCACACUGGGACUGAGAUACGGCCCAGACUCCUACGGGAGGCAGCAGUGGGGAAUAUUGCACAAUGGGCGCAAGCCUGAUGCAGCGACGCCGCGUGAGGGAUGACGGCCUUCGGGUUGUAAACCUCUUUCACCAGGGACGAAGCGCAAGUGACGGUACCUGGAGAAGAAGCACCGGCCAACUACGUGCCAGCAGCCGCGGUAAUACGUAGGGUGCGAGCGUUGUCCGGAAUUACUGGGCGUAAAGAGCUCGUAGGUGGUUUGUCGCGUUGUUCGUGAAAACUCACAGCUUAACUGUGGGCGUGCGGGCGAUACGGGCAGACUAGAGUACUGCAGGGGAGUCUGGAAUUCCUGGUGUAGCGGUGGAAUGCGCAGAUAUCAGGAGGAACACCGGUGGCGAAGGCGGGUCUCUGGGCAGUAACUGACGCUGAGGAGCGAAAGCGUGGGGAGCGAACAGGAUUAGAUACCCUGGUAGUCCAA
rnacentral:rRNA from 1 species